ACAACCCGCAAGGCCGACGCGUAACGCGCCGCUUGUGCAAGCCCAGCCGCCCAGCAAGGGGUUGGCGCUCAUGGGUAACAA
rnacentral:ribozyme from 1 species